UACGUAGGGACCAAGCGUUGUUCGGAUUUACUGGGCGUAAAGGGCGCGUAGGCGGCGUGACAAGUCAAUUGUGAAAUCUCCGGGCUUAACUCGGAACGGUCAAUUGAUACUGUUGUGCUAGAGUACAGAAGGGGCAAUCGGAAUUCUUGGUGUAGCGGUGAAAUGCGUAGAUAUCGAGAGGAACACCAAUGGCGAAGGCAGCUAUCUGGAUCGUAACUGACACUCAUGAGCGAAAGUGCGGGGAGCAAACAGG
rnacentral:rRNA from 1 species